rnacentral:rRNA from 1 species
UAUCAAUCUCACACCAUUCUCUGUGUGAAUCAAUGUGGGCGAUGGAGGGCUAUUUUCCCGUAUCACGCGCUCAUGGCUCUCGCGAGCCCGCCUGCGCCGGCGGCGGCGCCACCUUGAUCUCCCGUCUCCGGCCUCCACUGCACCUGCCCGACCCAGAUCUGGCAUCCUCUCCACGCCCUCUCGCAGCUCAGGUAUUUCUCCUCGCGGGUGGCGCCAUGGCUGCUCAUCCUCGACCUCGGCCCGCAUCUGCAUCGGCCGCGACGGCGGCGGCCACUCCUGCCGUGCCGAGCGCCGGCUCGCCGCCGCCCACUGCUCCAGCCCCCGCGGCUGCCCUCGCCUCCCGCCGCACCGACCCUCGACCUCGGCCCGCAUCUGCGUCGGUCGCGACAGCGGCGACCACUCCUGCCGGGCCGAGCGCCGGCUCCCCGCCGCCCACCGCUCCAGCUCCCGCGUCUGCUCUCGCCGCGGCCGCCCUCGCCUCCCGCCGCUCCGACCCAGCCGUCCAAGGGCGAAGGGUGGCACAUUCGCUCCUCGAGAAGGAGGCGAUGCCAUCGGUUUCGACAGAGACCUCCGCUCCUGCUACAGCCUCCGUCCUUCCACCGUCGUCUCCGGGAGCACUCGUCUCCGACUCGUCCCCGACAGCGCCCGUCUCCAUCUGGAGCUCGACUCACCUCUGCUCCAGUGCGCACCAUGUCCUUCAGAUAUGGCAACCGUGGCCUUAGACAUGGGGCGGCCUGUGUCUUGGGCUCCCCUCGCUGACGAGGAUGUUGAGGAUGAGGAAGAGGAGUUGGCCCCGUUGACACCACCGGCGGCCACAAGCUCUGUCUCAGCAGCUCCGCCGACUGAACCCUGUGUGAUGCAGGAGACGGAGGCGAGUGAAGGAUGGCAAGAGGUGCUGCCUCGGCGCGGUCGGUGCUGUCCGGCCUCACCAACUCUGGCAUUGCCCCCUCGUCCCAUUCCGGCUUGGCUCUUUGGUAGGUGUUGCAGAUGUCUUGUUCCUGGGCAUCGUGCGGCUGAUUGCAGAGAUCCCUUGAGGUGCUCCCGCUGUUUGGAGAAUGGCCACUGGGCGCGUGGGUGUCGCAAUGCUUGGCGUCCAUUCAGCUCUCUUGCAUGCCUUGCCAUGCCGCCACGGUCUCGCCUUGACAAUGAGCAUUGCGCAGCUCUAGCUUCUUGUGAGGGUCCGAUGAAAUCCCAGCUCCCCUCCAAGGUGCUUCACCGCAGGUCCUGGGCAUCGGUCGUUUCCACUCACGUUGAGUCGGGAACCCCAUCCGAUGUACUGCUCCGGUCCACUAUAGCAGCGCAGGCGGAGCUCCUGGUGCGCGUUGGGAGCUUUCUGGAGCGAGCAGAGGCUGCUCUGGGAAAGCUCUCUCUUGUCCCGGCUGUGUUGCAAUCCGCUCCUACGCCACGUCCUCCCAGUGAGGUUGAUGUUGGUGUCUCAGUGGAGAGCAGUGUUGCGGAGCUCUAUGGUUGUUUCUCCCCUAGAGCUGUGGACAACUCGUCACCUUCGUCUGCCUUGCCCACUGUGUUGUCUACCGCUGAGGGCGGGACCAUUGCCGUGGUUGUGCCUCCGGUGCUGCAGGUGAUGCCCGAGCUUCAAGUGGUAUGUGCGAGCUCUGAUUUGCCUCUAUCAAUGGAGCAAACGAUGGUGGACACGCAAGCAACCACGAGUGAGGGACAUGAUUCAACUGUGACAUGUGAGCAGAGUGAGGUGAGCUCGCUUGGGCGCUCACAUGUGAUUUUGGCACCCGUUCCACCGCCGCCGACGGAUACUUCGAAUGCUCUCUUUGCAAAAGAGCUUUGUGACUUGCUCGCUAGUGUGGAGGCUAUUAUUCCUGGAACUGGAAGGGCAAUUGCCUGCCUCCUGACAGGAUCGACAUACAAGGGCAAAUGCAAGAAGGCGAGCGAUUGCCCUCGGACCGGUUUAGUGCAGGAGAAGUCACUAAGGUGCAAAAGCAAGAAGAGUGGCGUCAUAGGUAAGGUGCCCGCGGCUGCUUAGUGGAUGAUUCUCGGUCCCUUGGCUCAUCCUCGCGACUGGCCGUCCUCACGGGUUGGGUCGUCAUUGUGGUUUUGGUGUGGUCCACUAUCUUUUGUUGGGAUGUUCUUGUUGGGUUCAAUCGUGGUGCAAGCGUCAGGAGCUAUGUUUGUAGUAUGUUGGGAGGGUUUGGUGGGUUGCAGGUGUACUCAUGGGGUCUCAUGAUUGGUGAGUAGUCCAAUUAUGGUCUGAUUGUAUCGGUUUUAGCCCGGUUUUCUGUAAAUUAACUGGGCAAUUCUCUUCUUCUUAAUUAAUCGAUGAGGC